AGCAUGCUGUAUAAGCAUUUAUUUCCUAGCAUUUAUUUCUUUCCUGUUUUCAUUCAUGUUCUGAUUCAAUACACAAUCAUUGGAACAUUUAAAAUGAUUUAUUCUACAUUUUGUUAUAUAUUAGAUGUAAAAUGGAGGCCUCAAUCAUAAUUAUUAAAGUUGACAUCACUUUAUGCAACAGUGGACACAUUAACCCUGGCAUACCAGCCUAUUCCAACAGUUAAUUAGUCAAUUUCCUUUUUAUUUAGUUUUUCCUGUAUUGUAACAUAAUUUAAGCUCAUAUGUUGGGAAGUGUUUUUGGCUCAGAAUAGUGACCACUUUCUAUUCUAGAAUUGUCUGAGAACUGGUAACAGGAGAAUAAAUUUAAGAAGACAUUUUCCACGUUCUUUCAGAAAUGUAUGUUUUUAGUCAUUUGUACAACUUGGAGACUAUUAUUGGCUUUAGUUCUGCUGAAGCAUACAUACAGAGGAUGGAUUAGGAGCUAGGUCCUUGUCAGGAGGUAACACUAUGGUUGCGGUCCCUGCCUCCCUGAUGUGCAAUUCACAUGCACAGUUGGGAAAGGAACUAUGGACUGUUGCCAUCAUCUACCUCAGCUGUGUUACUCUUACCUACUGCAUCUUGAUGGAGCUUAUUGGGAGUUGGAAACAGUGUGAAGCAUUUUCUCCAGGUGGUCCUCUUUGUGGGGCUCCUCCUCUCCUUAUACCCUACCCUUGCCACCAUCUUGAGGGAACAAAUGUGUCUCCAUCAAUUACUCACUAGUUUGUGAAGAAUAUGAUCUGUAGGACCAAAGAGCAACUUAUCCAGGAACCAUAAAUCUUUCAACUUGAACCAAGUCCUAAGGGCUAUGGAUCCACCCCAACCCCAAUACUUUAUUGAAGGUUUUAUAGACAAAUAACUAAAAUUAAUUCAUGUCCAACUAAUGGUGUAAUCAAUUUCAAUCGACUUAACGGGGUCCCCCGCCAACACUUAAGUCACUCAGCCUACUGGUUGGCCUAAAGAAAACCCAUUAACAAAAGCAACCUCACUUAAUUCAGUCUCCUUUAUAAAAAGGAAUGCUGAGCUAUCAAUUUCCCCCUACUCACAUUUCCAUCAAUUGAUAACUGUCUCUUGAUGAUUUGCAUAUUCCUCAACUUAAAUCAGUCCUAUCGGGUUGUUAGCCUGCCCUCACAGUCCAAGUCAGGACUGACAUGACCUCCCCAGCAUAGAAGCUUUUCUUUAGCCACGUCUCUGGGUACGUCCGAGGAGAGUUCAAACUCUCUAACAACAGAAAAAUACAUCAAACAGAAACCAAAACAACUUUACUUCAAAAAGGGCUAGGCCCCUUUAAGACUUACCAUCCAGUGUAAUGGAAGCUGCUUUCGCUUUCCUCACUCUGCUGCCUCCAAGCUGCUGCCUUCACUGUCCAGCUAUCCCUGUCCGUUCCCCGUGUUGCUGGUCUUAGCUUGAAGUGAUGAUUCUUCAACCACCCUGGUCAGUGGGUCUGCUUGCUCCUCUACUGCUGAAUGUAAGGUGCCAGUGGCAGGGAAGACCUCUGCUUCCUCUUCUUUACACCAGCUUUGGUCCUCCUCUAAUGAUCCUUCUCCAGGACUGGAAAUACAGUUCUUCAGGUUCCCUCCACCAAUCCAGAGGGAGCAAGAACUGGAAGCAUGUCCACAUCUUUGCUCUGGUCGUGGUCAGCUCCAUGCCUAUGGUGAAUGUUUUUCCCCCCGAUAACUUGGGAACUUCCCCUGUUCUCUCAUAUGUUCUUUCAUAGUUCUGCAUCGGACUCUGCUAAGAAAGAAGCAGGAUGCCUCUUGUUGAAGAUAGUUUGAACAAUGGGGCCAUCCCAGAAGGCAAAAAGCUGUCUAGAUUUUUGUGAACGUCUGAAAGAGUUUCAUCAAAGGCUCUUUACAUUGUCACAGGUCACUGUUUCUCUUAUUUGGAGACGUCAAAAUUUUAUACAGUGAUACAUUUCGAAGAGGUACUUUUUUUUUUUUUUAAUUAAUUUAUGUAUUCUCAUUUUGUGGAGAAAUCUGUUCCAAGAUGGGAAACGAGAUCAUUCAUUACAAGCUCCAGAAACCUUUGGGGAAAAUGCUGUGGAGAAAGUAAAUGUUUUCAAAUGUCUGAUAUUCUGUAGUUUUGAAAAUGUAUAUUUAAAGAUAGGUUGUAUUUUUUUUCUUAACUUCCAAACUUCUUUUUUGUUACAAAAAUGCCUUUGUCUUGUGGCCUGAAACUUCUGCCCGCUUUUACUACCCAAUAGUUUUCUCAGUUCUGCCAAUUAUGAAAUGCUUUUCAACACCACCUAAUUUGAAUGUGAUUUCAAUUAGGAAUCUGGAUGAAGUGCUCAUUUGGUAGAUGGCCGUUCUUAUGCUAGACACUCAUUCUGACUGCAAACAGAUGUCACCUUUGUGCUGACAUAAAAAUUUUUAUGGUAGCACAAAGCCAAAGCAAUCUGAUAUUCCUGCCUUUUAUUAUAGUGCAGAUGCCUGAAUUUGUGGCUGUGACAACAGGUAGUAUUAACUAGUGCCACUAUUUUGUGGUGGACGUCUGUUUGUUUUGAAGUGGGAGAGUGUGGGCAGUUUGGAGCUGCCUGCCCUCUCCAGCCACUCUGGGGAAGAACUCCUAGGGCUUCAAAAGCCCUAUCCUGCACACCCUGAGAGAUCCCUUGCAGGGGACUGGCCCCUUGAAGCCCCAGGAAUGCUUUGCCAGGGCUCCCUGCUGUAUGAAGUGUGCCUAGGGAAUCUAAUUCAUGGCAUGUCUCUGCAAGCAGGGAAACCCAGGGUUCCCUUGUUUGCAGAGUUACGUUCCAAGUGUUAUCUUGCAGGAUUUGGCCCUUGCUGUUUUUGCAAGCAGCAGGGGCCCAACGUUGUGGGACAAUGGGUAACAUCUGUUUUGUCUACUGAAGGGAAUUAGAUGUGCCAGGAUGUAUCCCAGCACAGCUGAUGUGCUUAAUUUGGCAAUGUCUGUUUAUACCCUUUAUCUCUCUAGCUUGCUGAGUGUUCUCUUUGUUAUUGUUUUUUCCUCUUCUGGUUAAUCAGUGCCAGCAGUGCUAAAUUAGGAACUGGGUCUGGGUUGAGACAACAGGUUAGAUUGUCUACUUUCUUGAAAAGAAAAUUGGAUGAGCAAAUUUAUAUUAAUUUGGGAAUAUAAAAAAGAGCAUCCUUUGAACCAAGAGUAUUUAUUUCAUAUCUCUCUUCUGUUUAUAUUAUCUUAUUUUCCUGUGAGUUUCCUUAGAGUUUUUCUCUAGGUUACAAAGUACUGAACUCUUACUAUAGGAAAAUAGUAUGAGGGGUGGGCUAGCAAAUGAUGGGGGCAAGAAGUCAGGGGUACUUGAAAUAUUAACUCUUCCCUAAAAGUAGUUAUUCAGAAAGUAGAAUUCAAAUAGAAGGGGUCUAGAGGGGUUAUUAACCUAAACCUGUAGCAAAACCCCCAGUUUUUCUUUUUUUUAUUUUAAAAUGCAUUCUCUCCCCUUCCCCAACCAUUUCUGACUUUUUCUCUCCCUCUCUAUUCCCUAUAGAUAAGUAUAAGUAAGCUAAGAUGUAGGAUAAGCUUUAACAUUUUAUUUUGGGUAGUAAGCUUUAUUUUUCUCUCCCCUCUUUGCUAAUAAGUAUCCUGCUAUUUUGAUAUAGAUAUCCAAUGUUUUAUAAAUGAUAAUUAUUAUGUUUGUAUUGAUUUUGUUUGUUUUACUGCUGUUAUAUUGUGUGAUUACUGUUUUAGGCCUAUAUAUGUAAAUUAGCAUAAAUCAUGUCAAGUUUCCAUCUUGUAAUGUCAAGCCUCCAUCUUAUCCCCAUUCCCAGUUGUGUAACCUAUGACUCAUACCUACCCCUCCUAUGUAACUUGGUUCCUGAAUGAAUGGGGAUGAAUGAGGAUGAUUGAGAUACAAUGGCAGUAGGUCUAAAAAUAGCACUUCUGAAUGACUGAACCAUCAACACCAAUACCUGGACCAACGACCCAGCCCUUGGAACCACCCUCAGCAUUCAAGAAACAAAAGAUGAGGCAACCCACUGUUGUGCCAAGCCGCACAUGCUCAGUAAGAACACCUGGAACCCUCUGGAACAGGUCUGCCACCUCCAGCACCUGUCCUGAGUUCCUCUCUGCCUCCAAACCCCCUGUUUCUUUGCCACUGUCUUAUCCCCACUGUCUUUUCCCCUGAGCAACCAGGUUUCUUCCUCAGUUUCUUUCCUGGCUGUCUCCUCCUUGCCACCAGGCUCCCCCCCGACCCCCAGUGACCUCGAGUAACCCUGGGGCCACUUGAUCUUAAGUAAACCCAAGCCUCAGUUCCUCAGCUAGCUUCCGGUUCUGGCAACUUUCACUCCCUACACUUUAACUCUCUCACCUUAAUCUUCCCCCAAGUAUCCCAGGCACCGCAAGCACACACAUACACACUGUACCAUCCAAAUUAGGACCUUACCUGUGUGUGUGUAGGUGGGUUGUGUGUGUGUGUGUGUGUCAUUGUGUGCAUGAUACACAGAUCACUAAUUCAUAUAUGUGUACUGAGUGUGUGGGUAUGGACAAUUGAUUUUGUCUAACUUUUAGGGUGUAUAGUUAUGUGCUUGAAUCAGUGAUAGGUAUGCAUGUGCCUAGGCUGGUUUGGAUGUGUAUGUGCCUGAGUUGGUAGAGUGUGUGUAUAUGCACCUAAUUGAUUUGUGUGUUUGUAUAUGUGCAAUUGUGUCACAUCCUCCUGUCUAACAGCAUACUAUUGAGAUCCUGAGAGUUGGUCUGACCUCACAGGGCAACAAACCUAAAGGGAAAACAUGAGAAUUAAUUAUUAUACCCUUUAAAGGGUAUGAAGGGUAUAAUAUGUUUAAACCAAUGUAUAUUGUAUAUUUUGAGGUUCUAAUUGAUGUUCUAAGAACUACCUACUUAACUGGGUAGUUAAAGAGCUUGUCCUCUGACACACUGCUAAAGUAAAUUAUCGUAACAUGCUAGCAGAGUAUCAUAAUUUUACCACUUGGUGACAUCUGCUAUCAUGUUAAUCAUCAAUUCAUGUCAUGACUCCUAUAGGGACCUUUCAAGUAAAGGUAAGUGCUGUGAUCAUGAAGCACAAAAUUAUAAGAAGUUAUAGUCCAACCAAAAAGAAAUUAUAGAUUAUUUUUCAUGGCUAAUCUGCUGAUGAUAAAUUUCUUUGGAAGACCAAUAGACUUGCUAAAAUUAAAUUUAAAGCUAGUAAUAUCAACUUGUUUAUCUUGAAUCGUUAUACUAUAAUAAUGUGUCUUUUAUUUCGCGGUUUAUUUUCAUAUGCAGUAUUAUCCAAAUAUAAAAUAAAAUCCAAAUAGUAAAGGAAAUUUUCUUACCCAGUCGAUUUAGGUAAGAGUCAUACUUUAAUUAUUUUUACGCUGCUUGUUACUUACAUUUGCAUAAUACUAAAAAGGUUAACUCUGAAGACAGAUUCAAGCCAUCAGUGAGUGAUAUCAAAAUAUUUAAGAGGCACUGCUCAUCAGAUUGCUGUUGGUUCUAAAUACUAAAUAAAUAUUUUUAUAAUCUUUUAAAUAAGUAAAAUGAAAAGUAAAUGAUCCCAUUAUUUGAAGAGGCCUGCUCACUGUGGCGGCAUGGUAGGGGGCACUACUAUACAGAGCCACUUAACUCACUGUGCCAGGACCAAAACUACAUUUUGGGAGUCUCCCCUGGUGAACCUACUGCUGGCCGUCCCCCUUCUUGGAGAACACCCGCAAUCCUGGAGUAAUGCUGCCACCACCUGGGCACAGGUCUCUGUCAGGGCUCUGUGCUGCCUGGGGUACACAGGCCUUACCAGCCUUGAGGGUGUUUUUCCAACUGGUAAUAUGUCUGGUUGCUGCUUUCAGCCCCAAGCCUCCCAGGAUAACCUCAGGUUCAACUGAGGCAACAUAAACACCUUAGCCAGCCAAGCAAAGGGAGAGAAAAACCCUGUCUCUACCCUUAAGAAUUCACAGCCAGGCACUGUGUAAUCCAAAAGCUUUAUCAUGGGGAGAGAGUGGGAGGGAGGAGGGGGUAAGACAGGAGUCAGAAAAUACACUUUGAGCAAACCAAAAUAAAUUGAGCCUUACAGAUCUUGGGUAUGGGUGUCCCUUUUAAUACAUGACUACAUUACUUAGUUCUAAUCUAUUAGCUAGUUUCCAGGUUUUUACUCAUGCAUUUUCAUUCAGAGAAUCUCUGAAGGCUGUUGCUUGUGUCCUGUUCCAAAAUGCUGCUGGAGGAAGAGAGUGAGUUCUCCCUCCCCUCAGGAAUUUAUCUAGCCCGGUCACCCUAGGUGACCAGGUUAAAACGAAAGAGCAAGCAGGUGGAAGACAGAGGGGUGUAGCUGGACUGACCCAAGAGAGACAGACAGAGGGGGAUUUCUUCACACUCGCCUCUCUUUUUCAAGGGUAUGUAAAGUAUUUCAAGAGUACACAUUGUUUGAAUUUAGUGCAAUAUAUAUAUAUAUUUUUUAAAAUCACAAAUCGGAGAAUAAAUUAAAGCAAAGUAGUAUUUUUUUUUUCUUAAUGCAAAAAAAUCAGCUUUCUUACAUAAUGCGCAUACCUCCGUUUUGGGAGACCUGAUUUUGGGGGGGAAAUGUGCAUGCUAUAUGCAAGAAAAUAUGGUGUACAGAAUAGCAAAUUUUGUGUAUCAUCUAAAGGAUGCUAGUGUACUAUGUGAAAGAUUAAUAAAUCGUUGCAUGUAAGGCUUGAUGUGGCUCCAGUUGAAAUUAAUGAAGGAAAGGGGAAGGGUCUCAAUGUCAGUGAUCUAGUAAAAAAAAAAUAAAUAAUCCUUCAAUUAUUAUAAAACUAAUUGGUUGUAUUUGUUAAAGUUAUAAUUGUGUCAUUGUAUCUAAAAUUAUUAAAUGUUACGCUAUUCUAGUUGUCCAGAA